rnacentral:lncRNA from 1 species
GGCCCGGAUAAUCCAUGUGAUGGAUUUGAAAAAGAUUAAAAUAUAAUAUAGAUGACUUAUCUAGGAUUGACAGUUAAAUUCUAGAUCAUCCUCAAGCAUUAGGGUAAAAAGGAUGAAUUAUACGGUAACCAUACGCCAAUAGGUUCUUGAAUGUUGCUUCGCCUUCAUUCGACCUAUCUGGACAUCAGGUCAUCAUUGCUAGAUGGUUAUAUC